CAGCCGCCGCGGUAAUACGUAGGUGGCAAGCGUUGUCCGGAAUUAUUGGGCGUAAAGGGCUCGCAGGCGGUUUCUUAAGUCUGAUGUGAAAGCCCCCGGCUCAACCGGGGAGGGUCAUUGGAAACUGGGAAACUUGAGUGCAGAAGAGGAGAGUGGAAUUCCACGUGUAGCGGUGAAAUGCGUAGAGAUGUGGAGGAACACCAGUGGCGAAGGCGACUCUCUGGUCUGUAACUGACGCUGAGGAGCGAAAGCGUGGGGAGCGAACAGGAUUAGAUACCCCGGUAGUCCCUGUCUCUUAUAC
rnacentral:rRNA from 1 species